rnacentral:rRNA from 2 species
AAAUCUGGCACUUUCAGUGUCCGAGUUGUAAUUUGAAGAAGGUAACUUUGGAGUUGGCCCUUGUCUAUGUUCCUUGGAACAGGACGUCACAGAGGGUGAGAAUCCCGUGCGAUGAGGUGUCCAAUUCUAUGUAAAGUGCUUUCGAAGAGUCGAGUUGUUUGGGAAUGCAGCUCUAAGUGGGUGGUAAAUUCCAUCUAAAGCUAAAUAUUGGCGAGAGACCGAUAGCGAACAAGUACAGUGAUGGAAAGAUGAAAAGAACUUUGAAAAGAGAGUGAAAAAGUACGUGAAAUUGUUGAAAGGGAAGGGCUUGAGAUCAGACUCGGUAUUUUGCAAGCCUAUCCUUCGUGGAGAGGUUUAUUAGCAGCUUACCGGGCCAGCAUCGGUUUGGAUGGUAGGAUAAUGGCAUUGGAAUGUGGCUCCUCGGA